UAACAAGAGAGGAAGGAGAAAAGGAUAUAAAUCAGGACAUUUGCUAGAAUUACUACGAUCCCCAAUUCUACUCUGAGUCCUACAUUAUAACUCUGCAACUAAUCAUCCGUCUUUUUUUGAGCACACACGAACUUUCAAACAGGAAUAUAAUUGAAUCUAUUUAGGAUAAGAUUAAAUAAUAAUAACUGCUAAGGAAAAGAAAAUUCAUUUUUAUACUACCAACUACUAAUUUACGACCCGGCUAAAAAACACAAUGGAUUCACAUCAUUGGCAGAGUUGCAUAAAUGCUAUUUAAAUAGCUUUUUGCAGUUGUUACCUGAUUUAGGGAGGGUCUCCGUGCCAUAAUAUAUGUUUUUAUUUACAUAAGCUGUCAUCAUUAUUCUUGUAUUCUUUUUUAUCAUCACUACACCAUUAUAAAGUCAAUGGAGUCCAAAAGUAAAUUAGUGUCGUCAAAGAUUAAGGCAGAACUUUUGAAGCAAGGAUAUAUUGCCUUAGACGAGACUACAGUUAGAUCCUGACUUUGUUAAUCUUUACAUGGCCAUGGAGCGUAAGAAAUUAUACUCGGGAUCCAAAAAAUCUACAGCCUGAUGACUUGAGACCAGAAAAAUCCCGAGCAUGAUGACUCGGACUUUAUCUAAACACUGAAAAGAUGGAUUCAAAUACAGCUCUGAAUAUUGGAUCUUUACUCUUUUAUUUAAUUAUAUUUAGUGAUUUUUUUUUAGAAUGAAUAUGUAAUUAAUAAUUAUUUAUGGAGUAUGAAGAGGAUCUACAAUGAAGAUGCAAAAUAACUAAUGGGAAAUAUUAAUUUUGGUAGAUACGUGUAUAUUAUUAUAUCUUAAUAUUUAGUUUCUUAUAUUGACUGUAUUAUUGAUGAUAACCUCGAUGAAAAUUGUAGCGUCCUCAUUCAUAAGUACACAUUUAAGUUUAAUAUUUUUCCCGCCAUAGACGAGACUACAGGUGGAUUUGGACAUUACUUAUUUUCCCAUAUAACCGGAGCAUGAGGACAUUGCCUGAACAUUGAACAGUAUUUACUACAUGACCGAUACAGUUUUUGACUCUAUUUAGAAUGAAUAGUUAUUUAUGGAAUAUGAAGAGGAUCUAAAUGAAUAUGUAAUAUAAUUUAUGAAAAUUACGAAUAUAGGUUGUAUUGAGGACAACUUCGACGAAAAUUGUAAAGGUCUCAUUCAUUAGUACAUAUUUAAGUUGUGUGUACAAGCUUCACGAUAAAAAAUGUCUUAUAUGUCGUAAAUGGAUAACGUCAUUACUUUUGACUUAUCGAUUACAUCACUGUUUUAUCCAUACUAUUGAGACUGAAUUGAAGUGAUCGGCGUACUAAUUAAUCGUUUUUGAUCACCAGAAUUAAGAAACAAAAUUUUUACUUUACUUGGUAUUUUCGAAGUAAUUUGGCGAGACUGUUGAUAUUGUGUUCGGAACAUUAGAAAGUCAAGUGACAUUCAACAUCAAUUGGAAAUUUUGCUUAAGUUUUAUUGACUGAUUUUAAAAAAUAAGUUGUGCCAUCGAUAAUGAAAACCUUUAGUCUCUUGCCACAGAAAUCUGAGCCAAAAAUAUUGUUAAUACUUUGGACUUCAACCGUUCUAUUGUUAGCCUUGUUAACAUCUUUAAAGUUUAUUAAAUAUGGGCAACCUAACAACUACCAUACAGAGUACUAAUCAAUUUGCAGUCUUUGUUAAUAGUUUCGUUCAAGACAAGAAGAUUAUCAUUUCUUACAAGUUAUUUUGUAAUCUUUGACGACAAUACUUUACUUAGGGACUCCAAUUACUUUGUGAUGAUGUAGCGAAAAGGAAUGGCUUUUCCAAUAUAAAGUUUCAUAAAUUUUACAAGAUUUGGAUGGCUAUCAAUUUGGAGUGAGAAAUUGCAGGAGAUGUAAAUCUUGUUCAUAUCUGACAUAAAAUUAGCAUAAUCAGGACUGGAUUCAAUUAUAUACAUUGAAUGAAGCUUCAAAUUAUUAUCGGCAUUACAGUUUUUCUUAUGCUGUUGAAAUGGGAAUUUUCUAAAGACUUGGAUCCCAAAACCGCAUAGGCCACGAGACAAAAAUAUUGAAGCCUUGCCAUAAAUCAAUACUUUUUCUCCUUUUAAUAGCGAAAAAGGAAUUAAAAUUAUAUAUAACAAUUAUAAAAGGAAAAUUAAUGUCUUUUAAUGUGAAAAGUACAAUAUAAUUGUUUAUAUAUUUAUUGUUGUUGUAUACAUUUCAAACAUGUUAAAAUUCUUCAUAACCAAAGUAUGUAAUAUUGAAAUUGUAGGUCCAAUGUAUCCCAGA
rnacentral:lncRNA from 1 species